rnacentral:rRNA from 1 species
CAAUGGGCGAAANNCUGACGGAGCAAUACCGCGUGAGGGANGAAGGCUCUUGGGUUGUAAACCUCUUUUCUCAGGGAAGAACAAAAUGACGGUACCUGAGGAAUAAGCAUCGGCUAACUCCGUG